AGAGGCUGGCAUUCCUGUGCUUCCUAAAUCUUGCCUUUUAAAUUUAUCUCUCUGUUACGGAAAGCAUCCCUUUUGUGACCAGAGUCCUGAGGACGGAUUGAAGGAAUCUGAAGAGAGGGGAGAGCCCUAGAUUUCUUGUUGCCAGGGAGACUUCUGGCCCAGUCUGAGAAUGGAGGCACAGUCUUUGACCUUGGGAACUUCCCUAUCUUUAGGGAACACGUGGCUUCUGCUCUUAUGCAAUCCUCAGUUUAAUGACAGAGACAUAAACUUGCCUUUGGGAAUUUAUUGAUCUGGUGGAGAAACAUCAUUCAACCUCUAACUCUAACCCAAGUAUGAUAUUAGGAAGUCAUGGCCUAUGUCUACCUGGAGCCUCCAUUCUGAUAGGGAAGACAUGGUCUUCCUUUGGAAAAUUCCCAACCAGGCUGAGGAGACACAACACUUGGUAUAGGGGGAAGUCUUUCAUAUAAGUAGGGAGAUGGGAUAAAUUACAGAUAAAUUACAGGUGUGCACAAUAACCAACCAAAGAGCUUCACAUUAUUGUUGAAGUUAUUGCUAUUAGACAUUUAGUGUCAAUCAUGGAAGGCUUCCUGGUAGAGGUGAGUUUGAGUUGGGUUUGAAGUAAAGAAAGAGCUCUGGGUCCCUAGAUCAUAGACCCCUUGAGACCCAUGACCUAGUCUUCUCAUUCUUUUCUAUCUCCUUUGGAAUAAGUACAGCAAAGGCUUUUGUUUAAUGAAUGACUACAAACAUAUAGGUAGUGAAUGCACCCACUUCAUGAGUUGAGAGCAGAGGGGGAUGGGGCAGGGAUCUAGGAGGACAGUGGCUGGGGUGCAGAGCCUGAGACUGGGGUUGGGAUGGAGGGAGGAUGAUAGAGUGGGCAGAGGGAGUAACCCCGUAUGUGCCCAGGCCGCUGAAACACAGCAUUUGAGGCAACUCUUUCAUGUUCUGGAGCUGGUGAGAGACACUUUAUUGAAUCUUAAAUUGUUAAAGCUAGAGACUAUUAAAUUACAAAAAUCAUAGACUUCUCAGCUUUUUGAACCACACAAUCAUGGAAAGUAUUAGAACCAUAGCAUUUUUAGCAGGGCAGAAUCACAGUGUCUUGAAAUUAUAGAUCUGCAGAAGGUUAGAGCCAGAGAACCAAAAAUCCAUAUUAGAGAAUCUUAAAGUCCAAGAAUUUCAGUGUCAAAUGGAAAAAAAAAAGACCCCUACAGUUUAUUGACCCCCUUUAUUUGUGUCAUUACUGUGCUGGGGAUAUUCUCAUGUUAUCCCAUUUAAUUCCUACCACAAGUCUUAAGCCAUUCAUCUCCAUCCCCACUCAAUACCAGACUUCUGACAAGAUUUAUCAAACACAGGCUUGUAUAACCUUCAUGACGGGGAAGCCAUUAGAUCUGGGCAUAGCUCAAAUGGCAGCUGGAGGGUUCUCCCUUAUAUAAGUUGACUCUCUCCCUGUAGUAUUCCCACACUGGUCCAGUUCACAUCCUCUGAGCUACCCUGAGCAAGUCUAAUCUCCCACUCACAUGACAGCUUUUCAGAUGGCUAAAGACAUCCCUCAUUUCUUUCUUCUCUAGGCUAAGCUGGCUUGUUGAUCAUCUAACUAGAAAUGGGACAGCAAAUCAAAGAAUAUUUGAGCUGGAGAAGCCCUUAGAGGUCACCCUGCCUACAGACUUCCUUUCACUGCUAGGCAGUAUGGCACUACGUGUGGGAGCGUGAAACUGGGGAGACAAGCUUGGGUUUGCAAUGCAGAGUCCAGCACUGACUUGCUGUGUAACCUUCUGUCUCUUGGGUCUCAGUCUCCUUAUCCCUAAAAUAAAAAGAAUAGUAAUACCAGCACAAUAGGGUUGAUGUGAGGAUAAACGAGAUAAUGCAGGGGAAGCUCUUAGCAGAGUGCUUGGCACACAGCAAGCAGUCAAUAAAUAUUAGCUAUAAUUAUUGGAGGCCCAGUGGGUGUGGGGACUUGCUCAAGAUCACAGAGCAACCCAGAGGCAGACCUGGGGUUAGACCAAGGACUUCUGCCUCCCUGCCCAGGGUCCUUCCCAGCCUACACAUCUCUCUAUCUUCUUCAGAAAAAGGAAAGAACCCAGAGGGAACAGGGGUACUUGGUUCACUGAAGCAGGAUGCAAGAAAGGGACAACCUUCCUCAGGCAUAAGCUUCUUGGUUCCUUAACAAGAGGCCAGAGGAAGAUGGCACCAGGGCUGGUCUAGUGAUUCGACAAUGUCUCUGGUGACCUGAGUGUUUCCAGUCCUAAGCUUUGAGGAAGAUUACCCUUGUGAUCAUAAGAAGACUGAUGUGCAUUAGUUCUUUGUCCUCCCAAGCCAGAAGGAAGGGUCUGGUAACUAAAAGGGUCUGUUCUCCUCUUAGCCACUCACUUGCCUAGGAGGAGAGGUUUCUCAGCCACUGAGUCCUCACAUCUCAUUGGCCAAAACAAGUCACAUGUCUACCCUUAGAGCACUCAAUGGCAAAAUGGAAGGCACUUCUUUGCUGACUUGGUUACCCCUGUGGCUAGGCACCUUACUACUGCAAGGAGGAAGAGGAAGCAGGCUACAGGAAGUCAACCAACAAUGCCUGCCACACUCACCUUCUGUCUUCUGUCUGCAUCACCCUCCCCUCCUUCCCACCUCUGCCAGGAAGUCUUCCCCUGUUGCGCUCGUUGGCCGGUACACCCUCUUCUGCCAUGCAACUGAGCAUUGCCUAAUUCAAGCUGCAUUCCGCUUUGUCAAACUUUCUCAUCUUUUCAUGUCCAAAUCUUGUCUUUCCCAGCCAGGCUGUGAUCUCUGUGAGAGUAAUAGUAACUACUGGUGAGUAAGGACUUCCCAGGCACCAGGUCUUGUUCUGGGUCCUUGUGGGAGUCAUCUCCCAAAUGGCUCCCAAUGAUCCACACCUCCUGGCAUUCACAUGCUUUUGCAUUCUCCUUCCACAUUGUACCAGGGUUAGCAUGUGUGACAGACAGAAUAUGGCAAAUGUUACAGUGUUUCACAAUCAGAACUAGAUGAAAGAAGAUACCACGGCUUCAAUCUUGGUAGCAUAUAUUCUCUAUCUCAGGUCAUUGAUUCUAGGGAAGUUGGUUUCCAUGUGAGGAGUGACCUUAGGGAGAGACCUGUGUAAUAAGGAAUAUCUGUCUUUGGCCAGCUGCCAGUAAAGAACAGAAUAAGCUGGGAGGAGAAUCCCAGAAUCCCAGUCGAGCCUUCAGAUGGCAAUAGCCCUUGCCAAUGCUUGACAGCAGCCUCGGUAUCAAUUCUGAGUCAGACCCAUGCAGUCAGCCCACUUGUGGAUUCUUGACCCUCGGGAAUUGAAUGAGAUAAUAAAUACUGAUUGUUUUAUGCUGCUAACUUUUGGGGUAAUUUGUCACUCAGCAGUAGAUGACUGCCACAGUGCUACACUGUCACACUCAAUGCUCACAAUUCUGAUUGGUUGGAGUUUGUUUCUCCCCCUUCUGAAUGGAGAAAACGAGGCUCAGCCCAGUAGAGUGACAUCCCACACCUGGUAAGUGGCAGAGCUGGGAUUUGCCUUCCUGUCUCUUGGUUUCCAAAGCAGAGGGCACCUGGUUCUGUCUUUUCAGCUGGAAUGUUCCAGCUCCAGCAUGAAGGUUGAAGAAAUGGGAUAUGAAAAAGUACUUUCUUUCUCUGUUGUGUCCCCUGUCCUUUUUUCCAUUCCAACCAGAUUAGUUAGCAGCUACUAUAUCUAUUUCAUAUGUGAUUCAGGGACAAGCUGGCUUAUUGGAAACAACAUGGGGAUUUGAAAGGGGGAUGGAUACCUAAGCUCUUGAGUGACCUUGGACAGGUUCCUGCACUUUCUGGGCCUUAGUUUCUUUAUCUAAUUCAUAGGAAGAAUAAUUCCUUUUGCCUUCCUCUCCAGGGAGCCAUGUAAUGUGUUCUGAACCUGGGGAGGUUAGCUGUGAGGAAGGAGCAGCCCUGACCAGGGCUCUCUGCCCAGCACACCUACCUCUGAACAAGUGGUAAAUCAUCAUAGCCACCUCUGCAGAAGAACAGCUUCUAAGAAUGUUCCUACAAAUUGACUGCCUCAUUUGGCAAUGUGACAUUAAGGUGUCAUACGCAGAAGUCAUGUCAUGAUGUGAAUGUGCUUUGUGCCAUGUGACUUGGAAGUAUAUGGAAGAGGAGGAGAAACAGGAGACAAAGGUUGGAAAUGUACAAAGCCAGAAACUGGUCUGUGGAAAAUUCUUCUAAUCACCAAGGAAGGAAAAAUGUAUUUUAGAGAUUAUCUGCAAAACCUGGGCAACAGGAGGGAAAGAGAAGAAAUAUAAACAUACUGAAAGCCUCAUCUGGUUGGAGGAGACUUUGAAAUUCUUGGCAUUGAUAAAUGCAGGCUCAGAUAUUUGUUAAACAUUUACAGUCAAUCAGUAGAAUAAAGCAGGAAUUAGAACAUCUAUUCUUCCUUCUUCUCCUUUCAGUUGGGAAAGCCCCAGAGCGCUGGCACUGAGAGCUGUUCAGAGGACACAAGUCAGUCCAGCUUCUCCCAGCCCCCCACUCAGGGCUGGGCACACAGGGGUAGGAGAGUCUCUGCCUCCCCAGCAGUAGGUCCCAGCCAAGUCAGGUAUGUGGUAGCAACAGAAGGGCUGGAAGCAGAUCAGGAGAUCCUUUCCUCCUGAGAAAUAACCAGACCAGAUAAAACUGGCCAGAAAACCAGACAAGGCCUGAUGAAGCAAAGGAUCCCGGGGUUCAGCCCCAACUGUGCUGCAGGGUCACUCAUUGUGCAGAGCUGGGCAUUACUAUUCCAAGUGUGACAGGCCUGUGUCACACUGAUCCAGAUAUCCCAGAGAACCAGAUGCUACCUUCAACCUGAGUGUCACUGAAUCAGACAUUACACAACCCCAGUGAUACAGACUCGGGCACUGGGAAGGAAAUGGGGGAGAGUAGGUUAUUGUUCGCAACAGUCACAAAAGUGGCCCCUGGUCAAAUGUGUUUGAGAUCUCCACAGUGUGGAGAGAGCCGUGAGUGCAUCUGAGUAUAUGUUUGGUCUUUGAAGUUAGUGUGGAACUGUCUCCCGCUGCAUUCUGGGGCCUCUAAGGCAAGACUCAGCCUCACUCCUAAACUGUGGCUCCCUGAGGAUAAGGGCUGGAACUUCCGAGCCAAAGAGUGAGUCUCCGGCCUCAGCUAAGGCUCCCUCCACCCGAUGCUGAGAGGCCCUGUGUGAGGCCAGCUCUCUUCCCAGUGGGGCUCCCUUUAGAGGCCAGUACCAGUCUUGGACUCCAGGGGGCGCCAAGUAGACAUGUCUUGAAGGUGGCCUGGGACUGAGGCUGGGGAUACCUGAGUGGAUCCUGACCACAGAGAUGGUCAGAGCUAAAGAAGCCUGGCAUCUGGCAAGCCCAUUCCCACCUGACAGGAGGCGCCUGGGACUCAGGGUGCUGGGCUGUGGCCUGACACGGAGGGCAGCCUGGACUACUGUGUGCUACUUCCCUCCCCUAAGGCCCAAGAGAGAUAUGCAGUCUUUCCACCCAGGAAAGCUUGGUUCUAAGUCAACUGUCUGGCUGGGGAAGGAACAGGG